ensembl:lncRNA
UGUGCAGGAGAAAGGAGAGAAGGUGGAAGAGGAGGAACAUCCUGAAGCUCUCCAUCCAAAAAUAUAUUAAUGUAAAAGAAAAGUGGAAUAAAGUAGAAUAUCGUCCUCUGGAGUGUCGCAGUAGAGUUUCAGUUGCAGCUCCUCUCAGAUAAGAUCUGUAGAUCUGAUGUUCCUCAGAUAAGGUUCAUCUGUGAGAUCGGUGUUGGAGAACUCCAGCCCUGUUCCUGCGUGAGAUCAGACCUGCUGGAGGAGAAGAAGCAGCUGUGGCUCGGCGUCUGUCAUCGCUUUAAAAAACUUUCCUCCAGGUGAGCUGACGUCCUCUGUCCUGUCAUCAGGUGAUUUUCCCGUUCGCUCCUGUAAACAGUGUGAGGACAGAGAAGCCUCGUCAGGCCUGAGAGAAAGCCCAGAGGAAAAAAAGAACGAAAAGGAGCUCUGUGAACCACAGAAAGAUUGCGUUUGGUGUUUUUACUUGCUGGCAUCUGGAGAGCAGGUGUGUGAGUCUGAGCUCAUGGUGAGUGAUGGAGAUGAGCUCCCUCUACAGGACACUCCAGCAAUUACACCUCCAUUACUGUAUACAUCACUAUAUUAUACACCCUUGUAUAUCACUG